AGGGGGGCUUCAACCUAAGACACCAGGUGGAGAGACCCACAGAUGGGACUGAACGCUGGCGGUGGGGUCUGGGGACUGGCAGAGUCAGGGAUCAAUCUGGCGCAGGGGGAAUGCCUGCAAUCUUCCCGAAGUUCCUUCCAACAGUUGCUCUCUCCACCCCCCACUCAGCUUGCCAUCUGAGCUGGCAUUCUCGGAGGACCCAGCUUUAAACUGGAGCAAAAGGUCAGCUCUCCACUUGGCCUUUCCGGAGGCCACAGCCCAGCGUUAGGGGUGAGAAGGUUGCAGCGGGCUCACGCACCUCGAAGCUCCCUGCAGUCUCCCUCCUGUCCUCCUCCCUCCCCGCCCCCGCCGGUUUGUGGCAGAGAUGGGGGGGGGGGGAACUGCCCUGGCAUCCUGCAGCCAGCUGGCUCGGCCUUCGAGGAGGCCAGGCUUGAACCUCGCGUCACCCCACUGCAACGUGUGGGCCAAGCUCUCAGGCAGGAGAAAGGCCUUUUUUGGUAACGCUCAAGCCCGCAGUAAUCAGGACCCGGUUCUUCGGCCCGCUAGAGACGCCUCGAAGUAGAUGAAAACAAACGUGUGGGCUGGGCCCUCCUCUGGCCUCUGCCAGGGCCCCCAUCCCCACGCCAGGAACCCCCCGGGCGCUGUGGGCGUGGAGGAAUCAAGUCAGCACUGUGAUUUACACAUUUACUCCCAGGCCGCUUCCGUGGCGGAAGUAUUUGCCUUUUCCUAAAGGAUUAAUUCUGGUAUUAAAAAAAAAAGGAUUAAUUUAGGCCAGGGCAUACGGUUACGCAAGAGCCACUAGACCGUGAAAUCCCAGGAACAACGUGAUUCGCUAAGAACCCCCGGGGAGGGGAGGCUGCGCCGCCCGCCAGGACCUGCCCAGCCUGGGGUGCGCGGGCAGCCGGGCGCUCCGUGCAAAAUUGGGUGGAAGGGAAAGGAGGACGUAGCGGUUGGUGCUGGCACAGCGGCCGCUGCGAGCGAUCAGAUCUCCGACUGCUUUCUUCCUGAAGGGGCGGGGAGCAGGGAAGAGAAGAAAGGCGGGGGGAGUCGCGUCUGGUUCCUGCUUUCGCCGCUUCCUCUCCUAGCCAGCGUGCCAGGGCACGGGGGAGCCCAGCGCUGUCCUCAGCAAAAGCCGGUGUGUUUUUUCAAGUUCAAAAGUAAAGGAACCCUGGAAUGAGUCUCCCAGGGACCAGGCCUAGCGGGAAAAAAGGGGAAGCGCCAGACAGGGGUGCUAUUCACCGACCUGUUUGGGUUGAAACAAACACCCACACCCCAAGAAGUGGGGUAGUCGGGAAGGACUUGGAGGGCGAGGGUAGGCGGAGAGGCUGGCGGGUGGCCGUCAAGGCCACAGGUGCUCACACCCUCAGACCCUCCCGCCCCACCCCGCGUGCGUCUGGGCCUCAGCAGAGAGCCAGAGUACCAGCGGGUUCCUACCGGCCCCGCACCAGAGCUGGGGAUUUCCACCGCCCGGCUUCGGAGACCCGUCGCCGCCGGCGCUUUCCUGCUGGGGCCGCCAGAAGGCGGGGCCUCGGAGCGGGAAGCCCUCCCUGCUGCCUCACUGUCCCUCGGUCAAGUCAGACCAGAUCGUCAGGGUGAAUCACAUCAGUACUUUGCACUGGACCUGCAGCCUGCAAGCCAGGGACGGGCACACAAAACAUCCCUGAGGCUGGGAGGUAUCCUUCUGAAGGAGGCAAGAGAUAGAUAUUUGCUCUUGCCAGGUUCUUCUCCACCAGGAUUUUUUCUCAAAUUCAUUGCAAGAUGGAUUUAAAAAAACAGUCUUGAUAAAGAAAAACCAGGGGGGCUUCCCUGGUGGCACAGUGGUUGGGAGUCUGCCUGCCAAUGCAGGGGACACGGGUUCGAGCCCUGGUCUGGGAGGAUCCCACAUGCCGCGGAGCAACUGAGCCUUUGCGCCACAACUGCUGAGCCCGCAUGCCUAGAGCCCGUGCUCCGUAACGGGAGAGGCCACCACAAUGAGAGGCCUGUGCACUGCAACGAAGAGUAGCCUUCGCUCGCCGCAAGUACAGAAAGCCCGUGAGCAGCAACGAAGAUCCAACGCAGCCCACCCCCCUCAAAAAACCCCCCCCCAAAAAAAAAACAGGGAUAGAAAAUGCCCCAUAAAACAUGGCCCCCAAAGGGAAGGUGCAAAACCCAUUUGAUCCAAGAUAUAGAUAUCUCCACCCUGGAUUUGUUUUUCCUUUGCUUUACAACUCUGCAGACAUCAGGUUAGCAAAAGGUAAUAAAUAGUCCUUGCACAGCAAGGUCUGGACUAGUGAAAACAGUUUACUGAAAUUAAUGGGCCUCGUUUGAACCAAAACCUCCACUUUGGAAUUAAUGCCAGACAUAGUUUUCCUGAACUCUUUCCAACCGCCUAAGCAGCAGACAAUUUUCAUUCUAUUUGUGCUGGAAAAUAAAGCCCGGGCCCUUGAUCUUAGUGUAGAUUAUGAUUUUUAAAAAAAUAUUUAGCACAGUGAACGCUAUGCCAAUUUCCAGUUUCUGCUGGUAGAAGCCCUUGUGCUCUGGGCUGUGCUUGACAGAAGUUAUCUGGUAAACUUUCCAUUGAAAACCAUCUCCGAGCUCUCUCCCCAUCGGUGGCCUCAGAGCUCUCACCACGACACCCGAGAGAUUCAAGGAAAGCUCCAGAAACAGACUCGGUUCUCAAUAACAACCCUUUUCCCCAGGGCUCUUGGAAAGGCUGGAUCUGAACAACACUGCCUUCAUGACCUCAAUUCCCCACCCAAAAGGAAGCUCCAAAGCACCCAACCGAACCCCCCACCCCCCGCCGCCCGGGCCCCGGAACUCAGGGUGUCUACAGUUCUGAAGCUGCUUUUAUUUUUAUUAAUGUAUUUUUAAGGCUGAAAGGCACACACGCACACACCCCACAUAGGUUCACACCCAGUGGUUCUGGCAGGUACAGCGGAGACCCGGUGCCCCGGCUGUCAGUGUCUGAUCCCAGCCGGCCCUCCCUCCCCCAAUUAUUAAUAAAAGCCCUGUCAUGGGUA